rnacentral:rRNA from 1 species
AGUUUAACUGGGGCGGUUGCCUCCCAAAAUGUAACGGAGGCGCCCAAAGGUUCCCUCAGCCUGGUUGGCAAUCAGGUGUUGAGUGUAAGUGCACAAGGGAGCUUGACUGUGAGACUGACAGGUCGAGCAGGGACGAAAGUCGGGACUAGUGAUCCGGCACUGGCUUGUGGAAGCGGUGUCGCUCAACGGAUAAAAGGUACCCCGGGGAUAACAGGCUGAUCUUCCCCAAGAGUCCAUAUCGACGGGAUGGUUUGGCACCUCGAUGUCGGCUCGUCGCAUCCUGGGGCUGGAGUAGGUCCCAAGGGUUGGGCUGUUCGCCCAUUAAAGCGGCACGCGAGCUGGGUUUAGAACGUCGUGAGACAGUUCGGUCCCUAUCUGGUGUGGGCGUUGGAUGAUUGAUGGGAGCUGCUCCUAGUACGAGAGGACCGGAGUGGACGAACCGCUGGUGUUCGGGUUGUCAUGCCAAUGGCACUGCCCGGUAGCUAAAUGCGGAAGAGAUAAGUGCUGAAAGCAUCUAAGCACGAAACUUGCCCCGAGAUGAGUUCUCCCUGACUCCUUGAGAGUCCUGAAGGAACGUUGAAGACGACGACGUUGAUAGGCCGGGUGUGUAAGCGCAGCGAUGCGUUGAGCUAACCGGUACUAAUGAACCGUGAG